UUAAUUGAAUGAGGCAUGAAAUAAAAGGCGAAUACGGGGGAAAUGUAUUUAUAGCCGUUGUUACAACGUUGCAGCUAAGAGACGUAACUAAUAUACAAGUCAGCAACAGUGCGAGUAACAGUCGAAACCUUUGUAACAGACAAACACAAAGUUUAAGAAUCCUUUUGAAAUGAUCUGCGAGUCGUUAUUGUUGUAUAGUCACUUGUGCUCAUACCAAUGUGACAGAAUGAUUUGUUGAGAGACUUGUAUAAACGCUAAACAGAAUUAUUCCUGACAGGGUUAAUAGUGGAACGAAAUACGUCAUUGGUGACAUUUACCCCCAGCUUUAUUUAAUGCAAUGUUUGUAUUACUGAUGGAUGCCUAUAAGUAUGGGUGUGUGUGUUUAUAUGAAACGCGUUAGGAGGAUUCUCCAGUGGAUAAAGGAGUUUUAAUUACAACACUGCUGUUCCGUUGAGUGGGAGCUGCAAGGGAAUCGUGUUCACUGUGAAGUCUCCCCAAGCUGCGGGUUCGAGGCGCUGCACCCGGACCAGAGACGUGGAGCGCACAUUGGUAGAUCAACCAUAGCUGCUGCUUAUUCUCAGUGUUGGUGUUGGGCUCAGCAAGACAUGGGUGGUUGUUUGGGUCAUUCUUCACACCAUUGUGUUCCAGUCCGCCCGCACCAUCCUUUUCACCAUGCCCAUCAUCAUGGUCAUCAUCCCCACCAUCUUGCUCACCACGAUCACAUUUCUGCUCACCUCGGUCACAUUAUUGCUCAUCAUGGUCACCAUCUUGGUCACCAUGGUCACCAUCUUGGUCACCAUCUUGGUCACCAUGGUCACCAUCACGGUCACCGCGGUCGCCAUUAAACACCCUUGCAGGAGGAAGAUUAAUUACUGUUUAAUGUAUCCCCCAUGAAUCAAGUGACUGACAUUAUAUUCUCCCUGCUGGAAUGGGAGGCUGGACCUCUGAUCUAUUAAACAACUGUUUGGAGUGGAAGUUUGGACUGGCCUCCAACCUUGUUCUCUUUCCAGUGCUCUGCCAGUGCAAGCCUGUUCUGAUUCCUCCAAUGGAAGGGCUUCUGUUUGGUCCUAUGUGUCUGGAAGUGGAGGCCCUCCAGCCUACAGUUUCCCUGAUACCAGUAUUCAAAGUUUCAAAAGCACAGAGGGUUUGCCUGUUGCCCUGCUUGAAUUCUGUGUACCCAUGAGAGUGGUUCUGCCCAUGGUCCAGCCAACUUCCAUAUCUAUCUAUGGUUCUAUGCACUGGGCACCUCCAGUCCCUUCUUCCACCAGCGGGGCUCACAGGUCCAAAUUAGUAGUUUAGAGAAAGGCUUGAUUUAGGAUCCAUAAAGUGCACAAAAUAGUAUUGUCCAGGAAAUAGCUGCAGGCAAAAGAUAGAAGAGUAGAAAGGAUAGAACAGGAGGGUGAGGAUAGGGGGAGUAUGGGAAGCAAAAGGAGAAUACAGAUUGGGGUACAGGAUGAAACAAGAAGGGAAAUGUAAAAAGUGGAUGAGAAAUGAAAGUCCUGGUCUCUACUGCAACUGUAGGAUUGGGCCGUAGGGAAGACUGGGCUGAUUUACCUUCCCGAGGGCUCGUUUAUCGACUCAAGUGCAAACUGUUACGUGCAAAAAUGGACUUGGCUGCCCUGGCAAAAUAUUGAGAGCUUUAUUAGGCAUCUUAGUGCACAAUGAGAUGGUGAAGCUACUUUGUGGGCACAGCAUUUAUUUUGCCAUUAUUGCAUUUAUCAGGAAUCAUGACUGGGCCCCAUGCUGCUUGUAUCUCUGUGACUACCAUUUUUACAUGAUGCCUUCAUCUGAAAUCAUGGGCAUAUAAUAUUUUCAUUAUUACCUACUGGCUGCCAGUAUCACAUGACAUAUCACAUGACAUAUCCCAUACAGGCUGGUGUGUUAUACUACUGGCUGACAGAUAAAGGUUGAAUAAAUCAAAUCCAAUACUCACACGCUCUCCACACACAUGGAUACAUUACUUCAAAAAAACCCUGUACUUAUACAAAGCAACUUAUCUGAUAUUUGCUUUUAUUUUCUGAAAUGAAUUGUAAUGCAGAUGCGGCUUAGUUACUAUGGGUGCAACUAGUUGUCCUGAUAUAUAACAGAGUGUGGGGACUAAAACAAAACAUUGUGAAAUGAAAAUGAUCAAAUAUUACAUUUAUUGCUACAAUAAAAUGCUGAUUAAAUUGA